UACGUAGGUGGCAAGCGUUGUCCGGAUUUACUGGGCGUAAAGAGCGCGCAGGCGGUCGUAUAAGUCGAAUGUGAAAGCCCCCGGCUCAACUGGGGAGGGUCAUUCGAUACUGUUCGACUCGAAGGCAGGAGAGGGAAGUGGAAUUCCCGGUGUAGUGGUGAAAUGCGUAGAUAUCGGGAGGAACACCAGUGGCGAAGGCGACUUCCUGGCCUGUUCUUGACGCUGAGGCGCGAAAGCUAGGGGAGCAAACGGG
rnacentral:rRNA from 1 species